rnacentral:rRNA from 1 species
AACGAACGCUGGCGGCAUGCCUAACACAUGCCAGUCGAACGAGACCUUCGUGUCUAGUUGCGCACGGGUGCGUAACGCGUGGGAACCUUCCCUUAGGUUCCGAAUAACUCCCCGAAAGGGGUGCUAAUACCGGAUAAUGUCUUCUGACCAAAGAUUUAUCGCCUUUGGAUGGGCCCGCGUUGGAUUAGCUAGUUGGUAGGGUAAAAGCCUACCAAGGCGACGAUCCAUAGCUGGUCUGAGAGGAUGAUCAGCCACACUGGGACUGAGACACGGCCCAGAAUCCUGCGGGAGGCAGGAGUGGGGAAUAUUGGAAAACGGGCGAAGGCCUGAUCCAGCAAUGCCGCGUGAGUGAUGAAGGCCUUAGGGUUGUAAAGCUCUUUUACCCGGGAUGAUAAUGACAGUACCGGGAGAAUAAGCUCCGGCUAACUCCGUG